rfam:Triticum aestivum genome assembly, contig: Triticum_aestivum_CS42_TGACv1_scaffold_194891_3AL
GUUAUACUCCCUCCGUUCUGAAUUACUUGUCGCAAGUAUGGAUGUAUCUAGAUGUAUUUUAGUUCUAGAUACAUCCAUUUUUGCGACGAGUAAUUUAGAACGGAGGAAGUAUAUG